CUAGUUUUUAGCUCACCUGGCCCAAAGGGCCAAGUGAGCUUUUCCCAUCACUUUGCGUCCGUCGUCCUACGUCGUUAACUUUUACAAAAAUCUUCUCCUCUGAAACUAAUGGGCCAAAUUAAACCAAACUUGGCCACAUCAUCAUUGGGGUAUCUAGUUUAAUAAAUGUGUCGGGUGACCCGGCCAACCAACCAAGAUGGCCGCCAUGGCUAAAAAUAGAACAUAGGGGUAAAAUGCCGUUUUUGGCUUAUAACUCAAAAACCAAAGCAUUUAGAGCAAAUCUGACGGGGUAAAAUUGUUUAUCAGGUCAAGAUCUAUCUGCCCUGAAAUUUUCAGAUGAAUCGGACAACCCGUUGUUGGGUUGCUGCCCCUGAGUUGGUAAUUUUAAGGAAAUUUUGCUGUUUUUGGUUACUAUCUUGAAUAUUAUUGUAGAUAGAGAUAAACUGUAAACAGCAAUAAUGUUC
rnacentral:lncRNA from 1 species